GAGGAAUAUUGGUCAAUGGGGGCAACCCUGAACCAGCCAAGUCGCGUGAAGGAUGAAGGUCUUAUGGAUUGUAAACUUCUUUUAUACAGGAAUAAAUUGGGGGACGUGUCCCCUUUUGCAUGUACUGUAUGAAUAAGGAUCGGCUAACUCCGUGCCAGCAGCCGCGGUAAUACGGAGGAUCCGAGCGUUAUCCGGAUUUAUUGGGUUUAAAGGGUGCGCAGGCGGGAUGUUAAGUCGGCGGUGAAAUUUUGCAGCUCAACUGUAAAAGUGCCUUCGAUACUGGCUUCCUUGAGUGUAGAUGAAGUCGGCGGAAUUUGCGGUGUCGCGGUGAAAUGCUUAGAUAUCACGAGGAACUCCGAUUGCGCAGGCAGCUUACUAAACUACAACUGACGCUCAUGCACGAAGGCGUGGGGAUCAAACA
rnacentral:rRNA from 1 species